GACGAACGCUGGCGGCGUGCUUAACACAUGCAAGUCGAACGAAGAGCGAUGGAAGCUUGCUUCUAUCAAUCUUAGUGGCGAACGGGUGAGUAACGCGUAAUCAACCUGCCCUUCAGAGGGGGACAACAGUUGGAAACGACUGCUAAUACCGCAUACGAUCCAAUCUCGGCAUCGGGACUGGAUGAAAGGUGGCCUCUAUUUAUAAGCUAUCACUGAAGGAGGGGAUUGCGUCUGAUUAGCUAGUUGGAGGGGUAACGGCCCACCAAGGCGAUGAUCAGUAGCCGGUCUGGGAGGAUGAACGGCCACAUUAGGACUGAGACACGGCCCAGACUCCUACGGGAGGCAGCAGUGGGGAAUCUUCCGCAAUGGACGAAAGGCUGACGGAGCAACGCCGCGUGAGUGAUGACGGCCGUCGGGUUGUAAAGCUCUGUUAAUCGGGACGAAUGGUUCUUGUGCGAAUAGGGCGAGGAUUUGACGGUACCGGAAUAGAAAGCCACGGCUAACUACGUG
rnacentral:rRNA from 1 species